GUUGGAGUGGCGAUGUGGAGGAGGUCAGAUAGGUAAGGAGGGGCGAGGUUGUGGAUGGCUUUGAAGGUAUACAGGAGGAUUUUGAACUGGAUUCGUAGAGGGACCGGGAGCCAGUGAAGCUGCUGAAGGAUGGGGGUGAUGUGGUGGGACGAAGGGGUUUUGGUGAUGAUACGGGCAGCGGAGUUGUGGACCAGUUGAAGUUUAUGGAGAGACGUGUAAGGGAGACCGAAGAGGAGGGAGUUGCAGUAAUCCAGACGGGAGGUGACGAGACUGUGGACGAGGAUGGAGGUGGUGUUGGGGGAGAGGGAGGGGCGGAGACGAUUGAUGUGGUGGAGGUGGAAAUAGGCAGUGCGAGUGGUAAGGCUGAUGUGGGAUUUAAAAGAAAGAGAACUGUCAAGGACGACACCCAGACUCUUGACCUGAGGUGAGGGGGAAACUGAGGAACUGUCGAUGGGAAGGGAGAGACUGUCAACUUUGGAUAGGGUGGAUUUGGAACCUACAAGAAGAAUUUCUGUUUUCUGACUGUUUAAUUGGAGAAAGUUGGAGGUGAACCAGGAUUUAAUUUCAGAUAGGCAGGUGAUGAGGGAGGUGGGUGGGAGGGUGGAGUUUGGUGAGCUGGAGAGGUAGAGCUGGGUGUCGUCAGCGUAGCAGUGGUAUUGAAUGUUGAAUUUAUGGAAGAUGGAACCAAGGGGGAGGAGGUAGAUGAUGAACAGCAGGGGAGGGGUCGGACUUGAAUGAUUUGAGCUGGAUGAACUGUGUGCGGUCUGAGAGGUAAGAGUGGAACCAGCGGAGGGGAGUGUGGGUGAUGCCGAUGGAGGAGAGUCUACGAAGGAGGAUGGGAUGGGAGAUAGUGUCGAGGAGGAUGAGGAUGGAAAAUGAACCGGAGUCAGAUGCAGUGAGAAGGUCGUUAGCAGUGCGGUUUCGGUGCUGUGGCGGGGGCGGAAACCAGAUUGGAAGGGGUCGUAGAGGGAGUUCUGGGUUAGGUGGGUGUGAAGUUGGCUGGCGACGACCUUUUCCAUUAUUUUGGCUAUAAACGGUAGAUUUGAGAUGGGGCGGAGGUUGUUGAAGUUAUUGGGGUCAGAGCCAGGUUUUUUAAGGAUGGGGUGAUGGCUGCUGUCUUGAGGGAUGCGGGAACAGUUCCAGUGGUGAGUGAGGAGUGAAUGAUGGCAGAUAUGAGAGGGAGCACAGAUGGGAGGCAUGAUUUGAGCAGUGUGGUGGGAAGGGGAUCCAGCUGACAGGUUGAGGGUUUGGAUUUCUGGAUGAGAUCAUAGAUUUCAGAGUCAUUGGGGAGAAGAAAACUGGAGAAGGGCUGGUGGUGUGGCAGGGGAGUAGGUGAGUUUGGAGAGGGUCCAGGGGGAAGAGAACCUGAGUGUAGUUGUUUAUGGAUGUUGGAGAUUUUGUCAUUAAAAAACUGCAUUAGGGUGUUGCAGGUGUCGGUUGAAUACAGGUGGGGAGGGAGGGAGUCCGGUGGCUGGAGAGAUUUGUUGAGGAGAGUGAAUAGUGAUCUGGUGUUUCCUUUGUUGGAGAUGAUCUGGGCGGAGUAGUGGUCUGUUUUUGCGUGAGAAAUUGAGUCCUUGUAGCAGCGUAUGUGGUUAAUGUACAUUUCUUUGUGAAUGGAGAGUCCAGUUUUCUUGUAAAGUCUUUCCAGUUGGCGGCCUUUGGUUUUCAUGGAGCGGAGGUGGGGGGUGUACCAGGGUGCAGUUGUGGAGAAGGAAACAGAGCGUGUUUUGAGUGGAGCGAGGGAAUUGAGGAUGCUAUUUAAACAGGUGUUGUAAUGAGAUGUUAUGUCAUCAGGGGUAGUGUAACAGUCCGGGAUCACAAUAUUCAUAAUCUUAGAGCGCAGAGUGUCAAUGUUUAUGUUCUUAAGGUUGCAGAAUGUAAUGAGGCGUGGUGAAUAAACUCUAGAGAGGGAGAGCGGAAUACUGAAGGAGAUGAGGAGGUGGUCACUUACGUGGAGAUCAUCAGCUGUGCAGUUGGAUGGGAUGAGGCCAGAGCAGCAGAGUAAAUCCAGAGUGUGUCCUUUAGUGUGUGUCGGGAAGUUGAUGAAUUGAUGGAGUCCAAAACUGUCCAGGCAGGAUGAGAAGUCUCUGGUGAGGGGGAGGUUGGUGUUGUCAAUAUGGAUAUUGAAGUCCCCCAGUAUUAUUAUGUUUGGUGAGAGUGUGCAUAGAUGGGUGAGUAGAACCGAAAAGUCAUUU
rnacentral:lncRNA from 1 species